AAUUCUUCCCUAGGUGCAUUGUAGUUGUAGCUGCUGUGUCUCCUGUGCAACAGUAGAUACCAUAGAGGAGAGAGGCUAUGUCUAUGAUCAGUGUUAUGACCUAUGAGCAUCAAUGUGAUCAGUUCUCUCAUU